AAGUCGUAACAAGGUUUCCGUAGGUGAACCUGCGGAAGGAUCAUUACCGAGAUGGGGUCCUUCGGGGCCCGACCUCCAACCCUUUGUCUAAAUACCUUUGUUGCCUCGGCGGACCGCCGUGCCCUUUGCGGGCCGGCCGUCGGUCCCUCUUUCUGGGGCUCUCGAGCGUCCGCCGGUGGAUCACAUCAAACCCUUGAGAAACAAGUACUUCUGAGUGAAUUUACAAUAACUUCAAAA
rnacentral:misc_RNA from 1 species